GAUGAACGCUGGCGGCGUGCCUAAUACAUGCAAGUCGAGCGAACUGGCGAGGAGCUUGCUCCUCUGACGUUAGCGGCGGACGGGUGAGUAACACGUGGAUAACCUACCUAUAAGACUGGGAUAACUUCGGGAAACCGGAGCUAAUACCGGAUAAUAUAUUGAACCGCAUGGUUCAAUAGUGAAAGACGGUUUUGCUGUCACUUAUAGAUGGAUCCGCGCCGCAUUAGCUAGUUGGUAAGGUAACGGCUUACCAAGGCAACGAUGCGUAGCCGACCUGAGAGGGUGAUCGGCCACACUGGAACUGAGACACGGUCCAGACUCCUACGGGAGGCAGCAGUAGGGAAUCUUCCGCAAUGGGCGAAAGCCUGACGGAGCAACGCCGCGUGAGUGAUGAAGGUCUUCGGAUCGUAAAACUCUGUUAUUAGGGAAGAACAAAUGUGUAAGUAACUAUGCACGUCUUGACGGUACCUAAUCAGAAAGCCACGGCUAACUACGUG
rnacentral:rRNA from 1 species